rnacentral:rRNA from 1 species
UACGUAGGGGGCAAGCGUUAUCCGGAAUUACUGGGUGUAAAGGGAGCGUAGACGGCGGUGUAAGUCUGGAGUGAAAGGCGGGGGCCCAACCCCCGGACUGCUCUGGAAACUAUACGGCUGGAGUGCAGGAGAGGUGAGCGGAAUUCCUAGUGUAGCGGUGAAAUGCGUAGAUAUUAGGAGGAACACCAGUGGCGAAGGCGGCUCACUGGACUGUAACUGACGUUGAGGCUCGAAAGCGUG